CCGUGAGGGAGAUUCUGUUCCAGGCCUUCCAGCUAGCAUCCGGUGGUUUCCUGGCAACCUUUGGAGUUCUGCGGCUUGUAGAAGGGUCACCCGAUCUCUGCUUUCAUCUUCUCAUUGUGUUCUCUCUGCACGGGUGUGUGUGCGUGUGUCCAAAUUUCCUUUUUAUAAGAAUACCAGUCAUACUGGAUUAGGAUCCACCAUAAUGACUUCAUUUGAACUAAUCCCAUCUGCAAUGACCCUAUUUGCAAAUAGGGUCACAUUUUGUGGUGUUGGGGGUUAGGGCUUCAACAUAAAAAUUGCGUGGGAGGCUGCGUGCCAUAAUUCAAUCCAUAACACUGGGUACAACCAACUAAUCCAAAGAAGAUUUGAAGAAAUGUAACCGAUUUCAGAGGACACGGUUAGAGUUUAUUGGCACAAAUGAACCAAACUAGGUGGGGUGGAAGAGAAAAACUGAAAGCUACUGCCUUGCAUCAGAUGAAGUCCAGGGUGGAUCAAUGACCUGACACGACACACAGCUUAACAGAGCCUCAGUGAGGACCGAGGACUUCGAGGGCAGGAGUCCCUUCUAACUUCUCCUUCUAAACUCAUAGGGAAUGCACACAUCCAAUACAAAGAUAUGGUCAUCA